rnacentral:tRNA from 1 species
GCGCCGGUGGUGUAAUGGCGUACAGCAUUCCCGCCCGAUCAACAGUAGAAGUGGGUUCGAGUCCCGCCUGGCGCU